GUGGGGAAUAUUACACAAUGGAGGAAACUCUGAUGUAGCAACGCCGCGUGGAGGAUGACACAUUUCGGUGCGUAAACUCCUUUUAUAUGGGAAGAUAAUGACGGUACCAUAUGAAUAAGCACCGGCUAACUCCGUGCCAGCAGCCGCGGUAAUACGGAGGGUGCAAGCGUUACUCGGAAUCACUGGGCGUAAAGCGCGCGCAGGCGGCCCAUUAAGUUGGAUGUGAAAUCCUAUGGCUCAACCAUAGAACUGCAUCCAAAACUGAUGGGAUAGAGUCUGGGAGGGGAAGAUGGAAUUAGUGGUGUAGGGGUAAAAUCCGUAGAGAUCACUAGGAAUACCAAAAGCGAAGGCGAUCUUCUGGAACAGUACUGACGCUGAGGCGCGAAAGCGUGGGGAGCAAACAGGAUUAGAAACCCCAGUAGUCC
rnacentral:rRNA from 1 species